rnacentral:rRNA from 1 species
CCCUUAGAUGUUCUGGGCCGCACGCGCGCUACACUGACUACUUCAACGAGUUGUUUCCUUGAUCGAAAGGUCUGGGUAAUCUCCAAAUUUCGUCGUGAUGGGGAUAGAUUAUUGCAAUUAUUAAUCUUCAACGAGGAAUGCCUAGUAAGCGCAAGUCAUCAGCUUGCGUUGAUUACGUCCCUGCCCUUUGUACACACCGCCCGUCGCUCCUACCGAUUGAAUGGUCCGGUGAAGCGUUCGGACCGUGGCCUUUGGACGGUUCGCCGUCUGUUGGCUGCGGGAAGUUCGUUAAACCUUAUCAUUUAGAGGAAGGAGAAGUCGUAACA